UACGUAGGGGGCGAGCGUUGUCCGGAUUUAUUGGGCGUAAAGAGCGUGUAGGCGGCCAGGUAGGUCUGCUGUGAAAACUCGAGGCUCAACCUCGAGACGUCGGCGGAAACCAUCUGGCUAGAGUCCGGAAGAGGAGAGUGGAAUUCCUGGUGUAGCGGUGAAAUGCGUAGAUAUCAGGAGGAACACCUGCGGUGUAGACAGCUUUCUGGACCAUAGCUGACGCUGAGACACGAAAGCGUGGGUAGCAAACAGG
rnacentral:rRNA from 1 species